rnacentral:lncRNA from 1 species
AUGCGUUCUAUAAAUAUAAUGAAUGAUGAAUUAAUUGAUGAUAUGUCUAAAUCUAUUGAAUAUUUGAAUGAGGACAUAUUUUUGAUAAUUUAGUACUAUUAAGGCGGUUUCAAACAUAUAAACAAUUUAAAUUUAUUAACCAUGAGAACUUAAGAAAUUCAUUGAAUGUCUGAGAUCAGUGGGCAUGAAUUAACCUUAUUAACGUCGACCGCACACGAUCUCACUUGAUUGGUUUGGGUAAGAGAUGUUUUUUAAGGAUGGAUUUCAAACCGACAUAAAUUAUAUAUUUUCAAAUGUCAUUUGCUCCAACUAGAUCCUAUUUUUCAGGGCAGGCAAAAGACAAUUCUACCCAAUUGUAUUUCUAUGAAUAUAAAAUAAUUGUAUUUCUUCUACUACAUAUGUUAACAUUUAUAAUUAACUAAUUGACUAUGUUACAGAAUUUAUAUUUUAUAUUAAUAACUAUAUGUACGUGUAAUAUCAAAUAAGUUCAGUAAUUACACUAUCUUAAUUAGUUACUUGAAACUGUUAAAUAUCUUAAUCAUGUCGUGAAUAGAGUCAUGUGCAAAACAUUG